GAUGAACGCUGGCGGCGUGCCUAAUACAUGCAAGUCGAGCGAACAGACGAGGAGCUUGCUCCUCUGACGUUAGCGGCGGACGGGUGAGUAACACGUGGAUAACCUACCUAUAAGACUGGGAUCACUUCGGGAAACCGGAUCUAAUACCGGAUAAUAUAUUGAACCGCAUGGUUCAAUAGUGAAAGACGGUUUUGCUGUCACUUAUAGAUGGAUCCGCGCCGCAUUAGCUAGUUGGUACGGUAACGGCUUACCAAGGCGACGAUGCGUAGCCGACCUGAGAGGGUGAUCGGCCACACUGGAACUGAGACACGGUCCAGACUCCUACGGGAGGCAGCAGUAGGGAAUCUUCCGCAAUGGGCGAAAGCCUGACGGAGCAACGCCGCGUGAGUGAUGAAGGUCUUCGGAUCGUAAAGCUCUGUUAUUAGGGAAGAACAAAUGUGUAAGUAAAUAUGCACGUCUUGACGGUACCUAAUCAGAAAGCCACGGCUAACUACGUG
rnacentral:rRNA from 1 species